rnacentral:rRNA from 1 species
AUGAACGCUGGCGGCGUGCCUAAUACAUGCAAGUCGAGCGAACAGACGAGGAGCUUUCUCCUCUGACGUUAGCGGCGGACGGGUGAGUAACACGUGGAUAACCUACCUAUAAGACUGGGAUAACUUCGGGAAACCGGAGCUAAUACCGGAUAAUAUAUUUAACCGCUUGGUUCAAUAGUGAAAGACGGUUUUGCUGUCACUUAUAGAUGGAUCCGCGCCGCAUUAGCUAGUUGGUAAGGUAACGGCUUACCAAGGCAACGAUGCGUAGCCGACCUGAGAGGGUGAUCGGCCACACUGGAACUGAGACACGGUCAAGACUCCUACGGGAGGCAGCAGUAGGGAAUCUUCCGCAAUGGGCGAAAGCCUGACGGAGCAACGCCGCGUGAGUGAUGAAGGUCUUCGGAUCGUAAAACUCUGUUAUUAGGGAAGAACAAAUGUGUAAGUAACUAUGCACGUCUUGACGGUACCUAAUCAGAAAGCCACGGCUAACUACGUG